GCUGGUCUUGAACUCCUGACCUCAGAUGAUCCACCCGCCUCAGACUCCCAAAGUGCUGGGAUUACAGCCAUGAGCCACCAUGCCCGGCAGAGUUGUAUCCUAUAUAAUAAAACAGUAAUGGUUCAUCUGCAGGAGAAAUUCCUAGAAAUGGGGAUGUUGGAUCAAAAGUUCCACAGAGCUGCCACUUCAUCUCCUGUCUCUUUGGGUCAGCACCAGCAACCAGAAUGGAAAGGUUUCAGGAAGACUUAGGAGCAGACGAGGAAGACAGAACAUGGCUUCCACUGUGUGACUCCCUAGGAAAGGAAGAUGGGUUCUUACCUGGUCUUUGCUGAGAGUAACCAUGCACUGGCCAUUCAACAUGAAUUUCCUCACAGUGCCUCCUCUCCUCACGAGGACCCUUCCUGCUCUGCUCCGUGUUGUUAAAAAUGGCAAAAGUACAACGUACAAAACAAUACUUCGGGGCCAGAGGGAAGAACUGUAGUCAGGAAAGACUUCCUGGAGCUGGUAUUGCUUAUUAAACCAGGAACUGCAAAUUCCAAAUGAAGACUAUCUUCCCCCAGCUAAGGACUGAGCAGUUUUUACAAAAGGAUGCAUAAAAUGUUCAACUCUGUAUGGGAUUGCGCGCCAGCCAACAUAAGGUGAAUUAGGGGAAGCACCAGACACAUAAAGCAUUCCAUCAAAACUAGUCAAAAGAGUUUGGAAAACAUUGGUGAUUUUCUAAACCAAGCCUGCUACUUGAAUUGUUAUGUGUUCCCGUUGCUACAGAAGAUCUAAACAUUUAGAAUCUGAGCAAGCAUUUCCCUGCCCUGUGAUUCACGGUGCUGCCCUGUGGUUGCUAUCAUCGUCAAACAGAAGGCUGAUUGACAAAGAGGCCUCUACAUCAAGGGGAGAAAAUCCUCCAGAGGAUACACUAAUUAUAGUUUAAAUAUCAGAGCCCACAGUA